CGCUGGCGGCGUGCCUAACACAUGCAAGUCGAGCGAGGAGAUCCUUCGGGAUGAUCCUAGCGGCGGACGGGUGAGUAACACGUGGGCAACCUGCCUCAUAGAGAGGAAUAGCCUUCCGAAAGGGAGAUUAAUACCUCAUAACAUUGCAGUUUCGCAUGGAACAGCAAUUAAAGGAGCAAUCCACUAUGAGAUGGGCCCGCGGCGCAUUAGCUAGUUGGUGAGGUAACGGCUCACCAAGGCGACGAUGCGUAGCCGACCUGAGAGGGUGAUCGGCCACAUUGGGACUGAGACACGGCCCAGACUCCUACGGGAGGCAGCAGUGGGGAAUAUUGCACAAUGGGGGAAACCCUGAUGCAGCAAACCGCCGCGUGAGUGAUGACGGCCUUCGGGUUGUAAAGCUCUGUCUUCAGGGACGAUGAUGACGGUACCUGAGGAGGAAGCCACGGCUAACUACGUGCCAGCAGCAGC
rnacentral:rRNA from 1 species